rnacentral:rRNA from 1 species
UACGUGGGGAGCAAGCGUUGUUCGGAUUUACUGGGCGUAAAGGGCUCGUAGGCGGCCAACUAAGUCAGACGUGAAAUCCCCAGGCUCAACCUGGGAACUGCGUCUGAUACUGGAUGGCUUGAAUCCGGGAGAGGGAUGCAGAAUUCCAGGUGUAGCGGUGAAAUGCGUAGAUAUCUGGAGGAAUACCGGUGGCGAAGGCGGCAUCCUGGACCGGCAUUGACGCUGAGGAGCGAAAGCCAGGGGAGCAAACGGG